rnacentral:tRNA from 1 species
GCAAAUAUGGUCGAAUGGUUAAGGCGACUGACUCGAAUUCAGGUUCUAUUGCAAGGUUCGAAUCCUACUGUCUGCG